AGUGAACGCUGGCGGUAGGCCUAACACAUGCAAGUCGAACGGCAGCACAGUAAGAGCUUGCUCUUACGGGUGGCGAGUGGCGGACGGGUGAGGAAUACAUCGGAAUCUACUUUUUCGUGGGGGAUAACGUAGGGAAACUUACGCUAAUACCGCAUACGACCUACGGGUGAAAGCAGGGGAUCUUCGGACCUUGCGCGAUUGAAUGAGCCGAUGUCGGAUUAGCUAGUUGGCGGGGUAAAGGCCCACCAAGGCGACGAUCCGUAGCUGGUCUGAGAGGAUGAUCAGCCACACUGGAACUGAGACACGGUCCAGACUCCUACGGGAGGCAGCAGUGGGGAAUAUUGGACAAUGGGCGCAAGCCUGGUCCAGCCAUACCGCGUGGGUGAAGAAGGCCUUCGGGUUGUAAAGCCCUUUUGUUGGGAAAGAAAAGCAGCAGGUUAAUACCCCGCUGUUCUGACGGUACCCAAAGAAUAAGCACCGGCUAACUUCGU
rnacentral:rRNA from 1 species